AAACAUACACAACAAAAAAGUCAAAAAAGGGAGGAGGAAAGUAGGGGACAAUAAAAGGAAAAUGGACGUGUGAAAAGAGGAUGAGGGCAUCAUCUUGCACCCUAAAAAAACCAGUUGUAAAGCUCAUGAAGAGCUGGUCACUUUCGGCCAAACAAAGUCAAAAAGAGCAACCAUCACACUCCAUUAUUUCCGCCAUAAAAACAACCAUGUAAAGCUCCUCUUAAAAAAAAGGGUCAGCUUUAAAACAACCCCAAAAACCAUCCGCAAGAUAGCUAAAAAAUAACAACCAAACCAGCUGAAAAUUUGUUAAAAACCAGUCCAAAAAAUCCAAAAAAAGAGAGCUGAAAAUCCACCCCAAAACCAACCCUCUUCUCUCCCCAUAACAGCCUCAAAACAACUACAAAAUCCAACCCAAGAGAGCCGCAAAAAUCAGUUACGAAUCUUCUGAAAAAUCAGUCCAAAACUACAAGCAAAACACCUCAUUUUCAACCUCCCAAAACAACCUCUAAAUACCACUCAAAAGUAGCUGAACAUUUAUCACCAAACAACCAUGACAACACCACAAAACAACAACAUCAAGAGUUGAGUUCGAGGGUGCUAUUCGAAAGAUCUGGUCUUCAGUUCCAGUUGAGGUCGCCGUCGAGGUCGUCGCACGAUAGCAACUCUGAUCUCAAUGUGCCAGCCAGAUUUUGAUUUUUAGCAUUUGAGGUGAUUUUGACUCUAAAGAAGGUUCAUUUCUCACCUUUUACUUGAUUAAUUUAUGAUUGGAUGUCUUCUGUCAUGAAUCUUGAAGAUAAAUGAAGUUAUGUUUCCCUUAGUACGUUUGUAUGCUUUAAUAUUUUUAUUUAUGUGAACUUCAUAUCUACUACAUUAUUUUUGAUAUAUUAAUGAAAAUUUGGUACAAGUUGGUUAGUUUGUGCGAUAGUGCCCUUCCUUAUUUAAAAAAUAUUAUUUUAUAAUUUUUCUCAUAGGCUUUGCAAGAUUGAGAAUAUGAUUUAGGAUUUGGGCCAACUGUUUUUGAUAAUAAAAGAGGCCGAACAGCUCAAUAACAAAUAGUGGAGCUAAUUUAGUAUAUAAUGUAAGCUAAUCUACCUUUCAUAAUCAAUUGACUUCAUCUCCCUCACAAUAAUCCUCCAUAGUUCUAGUCUUACAAUAAUCUCAAACUUAGGAAAGAAGCAAAGCAAGAAUACGCUAGAAUGUUAUAAGCGUGCUCUUAAUUAAUAGAUUUCUCGUGAUUAGGUAUACGUUCACGUGACAUAAUUACGAUUUUCAAAAGAAAAUUAAAAUUGAAGUAUGCAUUCGCGCAACUUUGGGCAAAAAUAAUAUUAAUAUAAUAAAAUAUUUUUAAUUGUGUACACGUGCGCAUGACAUGAUUUUGACACAAUAAACAAUGCGGAUUUACACAAGUAAUUUGUUUCAAAGAUAAUUCCUUUAGUUAUUUAAUUAAAAGUUGAUAGGUAAAACAUGAAAGCCAAAUAAAUCACAGUUUAUCUAAAAUUAAUUCAAGCCAAGUUCAAGUCAAUAAAGCAACCAUGCUAGAACCACGGGACUUGGGGAAUGUCUUACACCUUCUCCCCGGUCAACAGAAUUCCUUACCCGGACUUGUUUUUGCGGACCAAUAAUAAUAGAGUCAAAUCUUUCUUUGAAUAGGGAUUCAAAUAAAAGGUGACUUGGAACACCGGCAAAAAUCAAUUCCAAGUGGCGACUCUGUAAAUAAAAUAAUCCAUAUUGUCACACCUCCUUUUUACCUACACCCCCGAAGGGUAUAAGAGAAUUUUUCUAGUUUAAGUGACAAUCGAAAUGAGAUUAUUUAUUUAAAAAUUCAGAGUCGCCACUUGGGAUAAUUUAUGGUAUCCCAAGUCACCGGUUUCAAAUCCCGAAUCGAGGAAAGAUUGACUCUGUUUUACAGUCCGCGAAUACAGAAAUCCAGGUAAGGAAUUCUGUUAACCCGGGAGAAGGUGUUAGGCAUUCCCAAAUUAUGUGGUUCUAGCACGGUCGCUCAACUAUUAUAUUUGGCCUAUUUACUUGAUUUUAAUACAUGUUUUAGCCUAUGGUUCAAUUUUACCUUUAUAACCACUUUAUUUAAAUAUUUUUCAGGAAGAUUCAACGUCAUUUAAGACACAUCUUGAACCACGUCACAUAAAUGCACCCGCGGUCCACGACAUAUUUUAUUUAACGUUGUUGAGAUUUGGAUUUGGGUCACAU
rnacentral:lncRNA from 1 species